GACGAACGCUGGCGGCGUGCUUAACACAUGCAAGUCGAGCGGUAAGGCCUUUCGGGGUACGCGAGCGGCGAACGGGUGAGUAAAAAGUGGGUGAUAUGGCCUGCACUUAGGGAUAAGCAUGGGAAACUGGGUCUAAUAUAGGAUAUGACCUCCUAUAGUAUGGUGGGUGGUGGAAAGAUGGAUCGGGGCGGGAGGGGCCCGCGGCCCAUCAGCUUGUUGGUGGGGUAAUGGCCUACCAAGGCGACGACGGGUAGCCGACCUGAGAGAGUAACCGGCCACACUGGUACUGAGACACCGCCCAGACUCCUCCGGGAGGCAGCAGUGGGGAAUAUUGCACAAUGGGCGAAAGCCUGAUGCAGCGACGCCGCGUGAGGGAUGACGGCCUUCGGGUUGUAAACCUCUUUCAGCAGGGACGAAGCGCAAGUGACGGUACCUGCAGAAGAAGCACCGGCUAACUACGUG
rnacentral:rRNA from 1 species